rnacentral:tRNA from 1 species
AGCAGCGUGGCUCAGUGACAAGAGCAUGGGCUUUGGAGUCAGAGGUCAUGGGUUCAAAUCCCGGCUCUGCCA